CUAAAACUCAAAAUUGUCCUUCAUGUUCUUCUGUCUCUGGCCUUUUGUAACCAGAUUUUACAAUCAAGCUGGGUCCUGUCACAUGGGUGGACCUCUCUGAGUUAAAUAUUCAUGGAUGACCUUCAGGAUAUCCAGUAAUAAAGUUUUAAGUGCUUCGGGACAGGAAAACAGUUGGCCAUCUGGUUUUACUAAACACUUUCUCAUGUACAAAGGACAAGAUGUAUUACUUGGAGCAGCUAGAACUGCACUGUUGGAAGAAUUUGGGACACUUCUCUGUACAAACUAUUUCUCAAAGAUGAAGAGCUUGACCUGUAUCAAAAAUUAAAGAAAUUCAUUGUUGAGAGUACUUCUGAUUCUUUCUUCAUA